rnacentral:rRNA from 1 species
UACAGGGGGGGCAAGCGUUGUUCGGAAUUACUGGGCGUAAAGGGCCAGUAGGCGGCCAACUAAGUCACACGUGAAAUCCCCAGGCUUAACCUGGGAACUGCGUGUGAUACUGGAUGGCUUGAAUUCGGGAGAGGGAUGCAGAAUUCCAGGUGUAGCGGUGAAAUGCGUAGAUAUCUGGAGGAAUACCGGUGGCGAAGGCGGCAUCCUGGACCGACAUUGACGCUGAACGGCGAAAGCUAGGGGAGCGAAACAGGG